GCGGCUGAAUGAAAAAUGGAAUUAGAUGCAUCUAUGUGGUUCCUAAUAAAAAACAUGAAUAAAAAAAUAAAUUGCAACCCUUGAUUUCAUGAUGUUCAACCAGUAUCCACCACGAACCACAUUUCCAGCUUCCCUCGUUCUAUAUAAAAAAACAUGAGUGCAGCCCCUUUUUUUUUAACGUUCCAGCAACGUGUUCCCCUCUUGCUUCAGCCGAGAAUUAAAAUGAAUGUGAGUGCAGCAGCAACUUACAAAUGUCGAGUAUUUAAUGUGAGUGCAGCAACAGCAACUUCCCC
rnacentral:lncRNA from 1 species